rnacentral:rRNA from 1 species
CUGGAAUUGCUAGUAAUGGCAGGUCAGCAUACUGCCGUGAAUACGUUCCCGGGCCUUGUACACACCGCCCGUCACACCAUGAGAGUUGGGAAUACCCGAAGCCUGUGAGCUAACUUAUAGAGGCAGCAGUCGAAGGUAGAAUCAAUGAUUGGGGUGAAGUCGUAACAAGGUACC